rnacentral:lncRNA from 7 species
CCUGCAGUGCUGCUGAUGCCUUCUCCAGACGAGACGCCCAAACAAGGCAGCUACCACCGGAACAGAGCAAGACAACUUGUUUAUCAGACAGAGGAAUGCUCCUCAGCAGUGCAGGGCAGGAGGAAGAGGGGGCUGCUGUCUCCAGGCCCAGCGUAGGCAGUUCAGAGAUGGCCUGCAUUGUUCUACAUCAGGAUAACGAGGCGCUUCCGCAGCCCCUUUCCUGUGGGAAUCCCAACAGGUUGUUGUCCUCCCCCUGCAGGAGGGGAAGUGUGGCACCAGGGGGGUGAAAUGUCCCAUCUGACAGAUGUCUGCACUAAGUAGCCAGCACCAGCAGUAGGACACGCAGGAGCUGUUUUGCAUACUGUAACUAAUGCCCCUGAACGCCCCUUUGUCCAUCUUGCGUCACCUGCAGUCUGAUCCCUGUCAGCUCAUGAGCACACAGAGCCUUCAAAGUUGUCUGCCAGCCGUACAGGAUGCAUUCUUAUUUCUCAGCUUUGAGCGUGUCCCAGGACUGGGACAGAGCCAGAUCACUUGCCCUUUUAUCACUCCUGCCCCCGGGAUGGCCUAAGGAGAAGGGAAGAGUGCUCUGCACUGUGUGACACAGAAGGAAGUGUAGAGCCCAGCUUUGCCUUGGCCACCGCCCCGGUGAGCAAGCAGCACAGCACCACCAGCUUGUUCGUCCAGCAACGGAGACAGGUGAUACCAAGUCCUACCUCUGAGUCAGCAAGGAGCAUGCAGUGAAGAUACAGCCUUUUCCAGUAACUGGGAUUUUGCCUCACCUGCUGAUCAGCUGCCUUGUCACAAGAGGAAGUCCUCUGAUAUCAGCGUCUUGGAAUUUUUUAAUUAAGCUUUGUCCUGGCUCCGUGGCUUUCCUUUGACUUCUCUGCCCUGGUCGGCUCACCCAGCUGCAAAGUACUUUCUACUGCUGAUGUCCUCCCAUUUGCAGGCUCCCAGUCACAGCUUCUGCUUACGCCUUAGGCUUGGCUGCUGAGGAGUCUCUUUCUCACUGCCACAGCUCUAGCAUGGUCCAAGCACAGUAUAAAGCAUCACAAAGCAGCAGGGAAGGCUACGAGCAUAUUCUGAAAUCCACAGAGGCCCCUAAAUCAAUAAGUGUAUCCAUCUGUCCCCAGUGAAUUCAAGCUUUUCAAGUUACGGCUUCGAUUACUGUAAUUCCAAAAGAUUGCAGCGGGCAGAGGAGUAUGCUUCUCUUUUUUCUAUUUUUAUGAGCAUAUGAUAGCACUCUGAUAUGAAAUUACAUGUUUUACUGUUUCCCUUGGUAUGUACAGCUGGACACAAAGCCACCCGAGGUCAGCGGAAAGAUUGCCACCAACCUCAGAGCCUCUGGCUUAGACCCAUAAUUACUUUCUUCUGUGGUUUGUUCCAGUUCUGCACCCUUACGUGUCGAAACACAGGAAAACCCAUCUGUAAAGCCACAGGGGAUGAUACCAUGUUUAACUAGUUGCAGAAAGCUUUGUAGAUUUAAAAUCUAUAGCAUCGUUUUAAUUCUUGUUCUUCUGCAGCCCUUGAAACUUCCACCCACUUUGGUUGUUUGUGAGGACAGGCAGUAUCUCCAGGCUAUGGGCUGGGAUCAUUAUAGCUCUCGGUAGUGUGUGUGUGUGGAGUGAUUGACGCAGAUGUUUUUACAAUGGAUGCUUUAUAAAACAGCAAAAUGAAUUUCCAAU